GGCCCUUACGACCAGGGCUACACACGUGCUACAAUGGCGCAUACAAAGAGAAGCGACCUCGCGAGAGCAAGCGGACCUCAUAAAGUGCGUCGUAGUCCGGAUUGGAGUCUGCAACUCGACUCCAUGAAGUCGGAAUCGCUAGUAAUCGUGGAUCAGAAUGCCACGGUGAAUACGUUCCCGGGCCUUGUACACACCGCCCGUCACACCAUGGGAGUGGGUUGCAAAAGAAGUAGGUAGCUUAACCUUCGGGAGGGCGCUUACCACUUUGUGAUUCAUGACUGGGGUGAAGUCGUAACAAGGUAACCGUAGGGGAACCUGCGGUUGGAUCACCUCCUUACCUUAAAGAAGC
rnacentral:rRNA from 6 species